rnacentral:rRNA from 1 species
UACGUAGGGGGCAAGCGUUAUCCGGAUUUACUGGGUGUAAAGGGAGCGUAGGUGGCAUGGCAAGCCAGAAGUGAAAACCCGGGGCUUAACCCCGCGGAUUGCUUUUGGAACUGUCAGGCUGGAGUGCAGGAGGGGCAGGCGGAAUUCCUGGUGUAGCGGUGAAAUGCGUAGAUAUAUGGAGGAACACCGGUGGCGAAAGCGGCUCUCUGGCCUGUAACUGACACUGAGGCUCGAAAGCGUGGGGAGCAAACAGG